GCCUGAUGCAGCAACGCCGCGUGAGGGAUGACGGCCUUCGGGUUGUAAACCUCUUUUAGUAGGGAAGAAGGGCUUCGGCUUGACGGUACCUGCAGAAAAAGCACCGGCUAACUACGUGCCAGCAGCCGCGGUAAUACGUAGGGUGCGAGCGUUGUCCGGAAUUAUUGGGCGUAAAGAGCUCGUAGGCGGUUUGUCACGUCUGCUGUGAAAUCCCGAGGCUCAACCUCGGGCCUGCAGUGGGUACGGGCAGACUGGAGUGCGGUAGGGGAGAAUGGAAUUCCUGGUGUAGCGGUGGAAUGCGCAGAUAUCAGGAGGAACACCGAUGGCGAAGGCAGUUCUCUGGGCCGUAACUGACGCUGAGGAGCGAAAGCGUGGGGAGCGAACAGGAUUAGAUACCCUGGUAGUCCACGCCGUAAACGUUGGGCGCUAGAUGUGGGGACCUUUCCACGGUUUCCGUGUCGUAGCUAACGCAUUAAGCGCCCCGCCUGGGGAGUACGGCCGCAAGGCUAAAACUCAAAGGAAUUGACGGGGGCCCGCACAAGCGGCGGAGCAUGCGGAUUAAUUCGAUGCAACGCGAAGAACCUUACCAAGGCUUGACAUAACCGAGAACGCCGCAGAAAUGUGGAACUCUUUGGACA
rnacentral:rRNA from 1 species